rnacentral:rRNA from 1 species
GACGAACGCUGGCGGCGUGCCUAAUACAUGCAGGUAGAACGCUGAAGGAGGAGCUUGCUUCUCUGGAUGAGUUGCGAACGGGUGAGUAACGCGUAGGUAACCUGCCUGGUAGCGGGGGAUAACUAUUGGAAACGAUAGCUAAUACCGCAUAAGAGUAGAUGUCGCAUGACAUUUGCUUAAAAGGUGCAAUUGCAUCACUACCAGAUGGACCUGCGUUGUAUUAGCUAGUUGGUGAGGUAACGGCUCACCAAGGCAACGAUACAUAGCCGACCUGAGAGGGGGAUCGGCCACACUGGGACUGAGACACGGCCCAGACUCCUACGGGAGGCAGCAGUAGGGAAUCUUCGGCAAUGGACGGAAGUCUGACCGAGCAACGCCGCGUGAGUGAAGAAGGUUUUCGGAUCGUAAAGCUCUGUUGUAAGAGAAGAACGAGUGUGAGAGUGGAAAGUUCACACUGUGACGGUAUCUUACCAGAAAGGGACGGCUAACUACGUG